AAACCUGCCUGAAUUAUGAAUUACUUUGCGUCGGCUAUAUAUAUAAUCUCUUAAAAUUUAAUUUUACGACCUAACUUUUCAAUUUGUUUGAUUUGAGUCGGUCAACGAUAUUUCAACUUUAAAAUUUAAGCUAAUUAUAGUUGCGAAAAUUAUAUGAAGUAUACUUACUAAACAUGUAAAGAUAAAUGAUACAUUCAAAUAUUAUAGACAAACUGUUAUUGACUGACUCAAAUUAAACAAAUUGAAAAAAUAAGCAGGAAUAUCAAAAGUUAAGGAAGAGUUCGAUUAUUGGCUUAAAACGGUUCAUAGUUCAGGUAAAUUCUAUAUAUUUUUAUUUCAAAAAUAUUAUGGAAGAAAACGAAGUU
rnacentral:lncRNA from 1 species